GGAGGAAAGCAGGGGAUCGCAAGACCUUGCGCUUUUGGAGCGGCCGAUGUCUGAUUAGCUAGUUGGUGAGGUAAAGGCUUACCAAGGCGUCGAUCAGUAGCUGGUCUGAGAGGACGACCAGCCACACUGGGACUGAGACACGGCCCAGACUCCUACGGGAGGCAGCAGUGGGGAAUUUUGGACAAUGGGGGAAACCCUGAUCCAGCCAUGCCGCGUGAGUGAAGAAGGCCUUCGGGUUGUAAAGCUCUUUCAGCCGGAACGAAACGGUCACGGCUAAUACCUGUGACCACUGACGGUACCGGAAGAAGAAGCACCGGCUAACUACGUGCCAGCAGCCGCGGUAAUACGUAGGGUGCAAGCGUUAAUCGGAAUUACUGGGCGUAAAGCGUGCGCAGGCGGUUUUGUAAGUCAGAUGUGAAAUCCCCGGGCUCAACCUGGGAACUGCGUUUGAAACUACAAAGCUAG
rnacentral:rRNA from 1 species